rnacentral:rRNA from 1 species
UACGUAGGGGGCGAGCGUUGUCCGGAGUUACUGGGCGUAAAGGGCAUGCAGGCAGUCAGGCGCGUUUUGUGUGACAGCGGAGGGCUUCACUCUCCGAGCAUGCGAAAGACGGCGUGACUUGAGGGCUCGAGAGGGACACGGAAUUCCGGGUGGAGUGGUGAAAUGCGUAGAGAUCCGGAGGAACACCGAAGGCGAAGGCAGUGUCCUGGCGAGUAUCCUGACGCUGAGGUGCGAAAGCCAGGGGAGCGAACGGG